AAGCUCGUAGUUGAAUUUCGGGGUUAGUAGGUUGGUCAUGCCUCUGGUAUGUACUGGUCUCACUGAUUCCUCCUUCCUUAUGAACCGUAAUGCCAUUAAUUUGGUGUUGCGGGGAAUUUGGACUGUUACUUUGAAAAAAUUAGAGUGUUUAAAGCAAGCUAACGCUUGAAUACAUUAGCAUGGAAUAAUGAAAUAGGACGUUCGAUCUUAUUUUGUUUGGUUUUCUUAGGAUUGUACGCAAUGAUUAAUAGGAUAGUUGGG
rnacentral:rRNA from 1 species